UGUUACUCCCUCCAUCCAAAAAAAAGUGAAUCGAGUACUAGAUGUGACACAUUCUAGUACAUCAAAUCUGGACAGAGAUAUAUUCAGAUUCAUGGUACUAGGAUGUGUCACAUUCAAUGUUAGAUUGGUUUUUUAUGAGACAGAAGGAGU
rnacentral:misc_RNA from 1 species